UACGUAGGGUGCGAGCGUUAAUCGGAAUUACUGGGCGUAAAGCGUGCGCAGGCGGCUUUGCAAGACAGAUGUGAAAUCCCCGGGCUCAACCUGGGAACUGCAUUUGUGACUGCAAGGCUAGAGUACGGCAGAGGGGGAUGGAAUUCCGCGUGUAGCAGUGAAAUGCGUAGAUAUGCGGAGGAACACCGAUGGCGAAGGCAAUCCCCUGGACCUGUACUGACGCUCAUGCACGAAAGCGUGGGGAGCAAACAGG
rnacentral:rRNA from 1 species